UUAAGUCUGAGGACCCCUAGCACAUCUAUUCCUCUAGAUUAAGGGUCUGAUCAUAAGUUCCUUCCCAUCCGACCCUUAUAUCUUGAUCUCCACCAACUCAAGCGAACCUCCCCACCCUCCCGUAACUUGCUGCAAGUUUCUGGGCUCAAACUUGCAAGUGUUGCUGUUGAAAUAACCGUCUAAAUGCUAACCCAUGCAUUGCAUUCAUGUAGAGCUGCGUCUCGCUGACGGCUUCUACGAACUGUGCCCGGCGCCAGAGGACGAAGCUGCAGCAGAGCUCCCGCCUCCAGAAGCCAAAGCUGUCCAAGCAGAAGAGCAGUUUCCCUCCUCCUUGUUCGAAGGCAAGCCCCGGAUGCAUGAAUCCCCCUGUGUUUUACCAAAC
rnacentral:lncRNA from 1 species